UAUAAAAAGGGUUAAUGGCUAAAAAAGAGAUAGAAAAAAAUUCAAGAUGUGGAAAUAUAUUUUAAUAUAAAAGGUUAAAGGAAAAAGAAAUGUUUCUAGAUGAGAUAAUCUGUGUGUGGUAAAGUAAAAAGGUGUAAAAUGCCAUUUAAAAAAGAUUUUGAGGAAACUAGACUUACUUUAAAAGCUUGAGAAAGGAAGAAAGAAGAAAAAGGUAUUUGUACAUGGCAGAUUGAGACAAAGCUUCUCAAUGGAGUUUAAAAAAAAAAAAAGAAGCCUUUGGUUGAAAGGCAGCCAUGUAAACUAACAUUGAAGCGAUUUAAACAAAAUCUAAGCCUCGUUUAAAAGAGUGAAGCUGUAGGUGGUGAAAAAGUACAUUUAAAAGUACAGUAUAGAUGAUAAUUAAAAGGCUUUAAAAGGUUAAAUUAAAGGUGGUUAAAAUGCCUUCAUGAUGGAGGAAAGCAGCUUAAUCUUAAAGGCAUUACUUAAAAAAAUGGGAAGAUAAUAGGAUAAAAGAUAUUUAGAUAAAGAAGAUUAAAAAUUUGAAGUGAAAAACUUUAAAGACAGAAGUAUAGAAAGUUAAAAAGAAAGAUAAACAAGAUAUAGAAAGAUUAAAAAAUGUAGGAAGACAAGAAUUUUAAACCCACAAAAUAGAAAAAAAAAAACUAGGAGGAAAAUAAGCAACUAAGGGUAAAAAUACAAACCUUAAAAAAAAAAAAAAACAACUAGAAGAUAGAAAUAAGAUAGAAAAUGGUUGAAAAUGUCAAGUAAGGUAUUACACAGAUAGAAAAUGCAAAAAGCUAAGACAACUAUUAGAUACAGACAUAUACUUAUUAAAGCAAAAAGAGGGAAUUGGAAAGGGGUAUAUAU
rnacentral:lncRNA from 1 species